rnacentral:rRNA from 1 species
ACCCUACGGGGCGCAGCAGUAGGGAAUCUUCCACAAUGGACGAAAGUCUGAUGGAGCAACGCCGCGUGAGUGAAGAAGGGUUUCGGCUCGUAAAGAUCUGUUGGUAGUGAAGAAAGAUAGAGGUAGUAACUGGCCUUUAUUUGACGGUAAUUACUUAGAAAGUCAAGGCUAACUACGUGCAAGCAGGCGCGGUAAUAAGUAGGUGGCAAGCGUUGUCCGGAUUUAUUGGGCGUAAAGCGAGUGCAGGCGGUUGAAUAAGUCUGAUGUGAAAGACUUCGGGUC